AAAAUUAAAAAAAAAAAAAAAAAGAAUACAAGCAAGAAUAAAUGUUGGUGAAGAUGUGGGAGGAAAAGUUUCACUUAUACAUUGCUGGUGGGACUGCAAAUUGGUGCAGUGACUCUGGAAAGCUGUAUGGAGAUUCCUCAGAAAGCUUGUAAUGGAACCACCAUUUGAUCCAGUUAUCCCACUUCUUGGAAUAUACCCAAAAGAUUUAAAAUCAGCAUACUACAGUGACACAGCCAUUUCAAUGUUUAUAGCAGUAUAGUCCACAUUAGCUAAGCUGUGGAACCAGCCUGGGUUCCUUGAACAGGUGGAUAGAUAAAGAAAAUGUGGUAUAUGUACCCAAUGGAAUAUUACUCAUCCAUAGAGAAGAAUGAAUUUAUGGCAUUUGCUAGUAAAUGGCUGGAACUGGAGAAUAUCAUGCUAAGUGAAAUAAACAAGUACUAAGAAACCAAAGGUAGACUGUUCUCUCUGAUAUGUGGACGCUAGUCCACAAGGGAGGCGAAGAUUAGAAGUUCGUUGGACUAGACAAAGGGAAUUAGGUAAGGGAGUGGAGAGGGCAAAGGAAAGACAGUAGAAUGAAUAGCACCUAUCCUUCCUAUCCUUAAAUAUGAAUCCAUGACCAAUGUCACUCCACAUCGUGUGCAAGCACAACAAUGAGAUCCUAACUGGAACAAGUCAUACUUAUUCUAUGUAUGUAUAAUAUGUCAGAGUAAAAUCUACUGUCAUGCUUCCUUUCUUAUCCCUUCAGUCUUAUUCAUUAUAAUCACAUUUAGGUCUUCUAAAGUUUAAUAUUCUAUGGUGAUUUCUGAGUUCUGAAAUCUUAUGGUCUAACCUGUUUGCUACAUUCUUUUCAGUUACAUUGUCAAUUAUGACUUUCUCGGUGUAGCUGAGAUUUUGUUAAUUGUUCUUAGUUUUUUAAAAAAUAAACUUGAUUUCAUGUAAUUUGUAUGAUUUUUAUCUCUAUUUCUGUUCUGCUCUUUAUUUUUAUUCUACUAAAUUUGGGUUUGGUUUAUUCUUGUAUUUCUACUUCUGAACAGAGAACAUCUUGCUAUUCUCAUUUGUUACUUGUUUUUCUAAUGUUUUAAUUUUCUAAUGUUUUCUAAUGUUGUAGUUCAUUUCUUCCACUUUUAUUGUGUUCCUUCAUGGUUAAGUGAUUUUUCUCUCACAGUAUGUUUUGAUUCCUUGCUUGAGGCACAAUGAUAGGUUGUUUAAUUUGAGAGCUUUCUAUUUUUUUGAUAUUGGCAUUGAUUGAUGUAAUCUGUUUUUGAUUGAUUUUAUUAUUUUAAAAAAUACACAACAAUAGUGGAAUGCAUUACAAUCCUUAUUACACAUAUAGAGCACAAUUUUUCAUAUCUCUGUAUAUAAAGUAGUGCUCUCAUUUACCUCUAAGAAUUUUUUAUCUCCUCCUUGAUGUCUUCUGUAACCCAUUGUUCAUUCUCUAGUAUACUGUUCAGUCUCCAUUUGAUGCAGAAUUUUUUAUCCUAUUUUGUUGUUGAUUUCCAAUUUCAUUCCAUUAUGAUCUGAUAAAAUGCAUGGUAGUAUCUCUACUCCUUUGUAUUUGCUAAGAGUUGCCCUGUGGCAUAGUAUAUGGUCUGUUUUUGAGAAGGAUCCAUGUGAUGCUGAGAAGAAAGUGUAUCUGCUUGAUGUUGAUUGAUAUAUUCUAUAUAUGACAGUUAAGUCUAAGUUAUUGUGUUAUUGAAUUCUAUAGUUUUUUUAUUCAACUUUUCUUUGGAAGAUCUUUCCAGUGGUGAGAGAGGUGUGGUAACGUCACCCAAGAUUAUUGUGUUGUGUUCAAUUUGACUCUUGAAUUUGAGAAGAGUUUGUUUGAUGAAUAUAGCUGCACCAUUGUUUGGGGAAUAUAUAUUUAUGAUUGUUAUGUCUUAUUGGAAUAACAUUACAUACCGUUCCUUUGAGCAGUAUGUAAUGUCCAUCUUUAUCCCUUUUGAUUAACUUUGGCUUGAGGUCUACUUUAUUUGAUAUGAGUACAGAGACCCCUCCUUGUUUCCACCGUCCAUGUGAGUGGUAUGAUUUUUCCCAACCUUUCACCUUCAGACUGUGUAUGUCUUUUCCUAUCAAAUGAGUCUUCUGUAGGCAGCAUAUUGUUGUUGUUGUUUUUUAAUCCAAUAUGCUAGCCUAUGUCUUUUGAUUGGUGAGUUUAAGCCAUUAACAUUUAGGGCUACUAUUGAGACAUGGUUUGUAUUUCCAGUCAUAUUUGUUUAUUUUUGUCAUUUAACUUGACUUGGUUUUUCUCUUUGAUUAGUUUUUCUUUUAGUGCACUACCUCCCUCUGCUGGUUUUCAUUAUUAUUUUUCGUUUCCUCUUCAUGAAAUAUUUUGCCAAGGAUGUUUUUUAGUGCUGGUUUUCUAGCUCUAAAUUGUUUAACUUUUUUUUUUUUUUUAUUGUGGAAAGUUUUUAUUUCAUCUACAAAUCUGAAGCUUAGUUUUGCUGGAUACAAGAUUCUUGAUUGGAACCCAUUAUCUUUCAGAGUUUGAAAUAUGUUGUUCCAAGAUCUUCUAGCUUUCAGGGUCUGUGUUGAAAAAUCUGCCAUUAUCCUAAUUGGUUUACCCUUAUGUGUAAUCUGGAUCCUUUCUCUUGUGGCUUUUAAAAUUCUCUCCUUAUUCUGUAUGUUGGGCAUUUUCAUUAUAAUUUGUCUUAGUGUGGAUCUGUUGUGAUUUUGCACAUUUUGCAUCCUGUAGGCUUCUUGUAUUUGGAUUUCCAUUUCAUUCUUCAUGUCUGGAAAGUUUUCUGAUAUUAUUUCAUUGAACAGAUUGCUCAUUCCUUUGGUUUGGACCUCUAUGCCUUCCUCUAUCCCCAUAACUCUUAAAUUUGGUCUUUUUAUGCUAUCUCAUAUUUCUUAGAUGUUCUGCUUGUGGUUUCUUAUCAUUUUUGCUAUGCUGUCUACAUUCUUUUCAAGAUGAUAUACUUUGUCUUCAUUGAUGUCCUAUCUUCUAAGUUGUCUACUCUGCUGGUGAUGCUCUCAUUUUUGUUUUUAAUUUGGCUUAUUAUUUCUUUCAUUUCAAGGAUUUCUGCUUUUUUUUUUAAACCUCUGUCUCCCUGUAGAGGUGAUCUUUUGGUUUUGGAUUUGGUUAUGUAGCUUAUCGUCAAAGUGAUCUUUUACUGUCUGUAUUUGUUGUCUAAUGUCUUCUUUGAGAUUCCAAAACAUCUGAAUCAUGUGAAUCCUGAAAUCUUUCUCUGUCAUUUUUUUCUGCUGUUUCUGUUAAUUCUUCUAAUGAUGUGUUGUCUUGAAUUGUUUGUGGUACUUUCUUCCCUUGUCUUUUCAUGUUGCUCACAUUUCUUUCCCGCUCUGUGGGACUGAUGUGUUGUUGUGUUUACCCUAUAGAUUUGUAGUGCUCUUGUGUAGUUCCAAGAUCCCUCCUUUGUGAGGAAGGACAAUGUUGACAUUUCCCAAUAUCAACAAUACAUCACCUAUGAGUAAAUUAUUGUUAUUAAGACAUUUAUAGUUAGUCUCAUUGUCU
rnacentral:lncRNA from 1 species